ensembl:lncRNA
UAUUUUUUUCAUGACGACCAAUAAAAACGACAGUGUUACCCCUUAUGUUUUUUUUCAUGACGACCAAUAAAAAACGACAGUGUUACCCCUUAUGUUUUUUUUCAUGACGACCAAUAAAAAACAACAGUGUUACCCCUUAUGUUUUUUUUCAUGACGACCAAUAAAAAACGACAGUGUUACCCCUUAUGUUUUUUUUCAUGACGACCAAUAAAAAACAACAGUGUUACCCCUUAUGUUUUUUUUCAUGACGACCAAUAAAAAACGACAGUGUUACCCCUUAUGUUUUUUUUCAUGACGACCAAUAAAAAACAACAGUGUUACCCCUUAUGUUUUUUUUCAUGACGACCAAUAAAAAACAACAGUGUUACCCCUUG